CAGAGUAAGAUUUCAAGCGUGUAUUUUUUGCAAUACGAAGUGUCUGCCGAACGGGGAGUUGUCGGCGGAACGAAAGAGUUGAUCUGCGAUUUGAAGUCUGCAUCCCGCUGU
rnacentral:ncRNA from 1 species